GGCGCGCCGUGGCCAUAGCAACCUCUUAAAUUUAUAGCAUAUCUAAAUUGGCUACAGCGUUGCGGUCAGGGCAGAGCAAAAAAAACAAGACAUCAGUAUUGCCGAGUAUUUGCUAGUACCUGUUCCCAAGCUAGGAUCUCUCAUUGAAGUUGGAGCUCACUGAUUCCACUAGACUGUCUGGUCAGCAAGCAAUCACCAGGAAUCACCUGUAACCGUAUCUGCCUGCCGUGACACUCACUGCCGCCUUGAAUUAUCUAUCUAUCUAUCUAUCUAUCUAUCUAUCUAUCUAUC
rnacentral:lncRNA from 1 species